GCCUGGCCUCGACCCGGCAGUGCCUGUGCCCCCUGCGCCCCCCAGAGCCCUAGUCCUGUGCACCACUCACUCUCCGUUGGUGAACAGCUCGGGUUGUAUUCCGGAACCGAAGCUGCUCAUUCAUCACACUGCUGCCACGACGCGUCUAUGAGCUUCCAGCAGUUCAGAGG